UACGAAGGGGGGCUAGCGUUGCUCGGAAUCACUGGGCGUAAAGCGCACGUAGGCGGAUCUUUAAGUCGGGGGUGAAAUCCUGGAGCUCAACUCCAGAACUGCCUUCGAUACUGAGGACCUUGAGUCCGGGAGAGGUGAGUGGAACUGCGAGUGUAGAGGUGAAAUUCGUAGAUAUUCGCAAGAACACCAGUGGCGAAGGCGGCUCACUGGCCCGAUACUGACGCUGAGGCACGAAAGCGUGGGGAGCAAACAGG
rnacentral:rRNA from 1 species